rnacentral:rRNA from 1 species
GACGAACGCUGGCGGCGUGCUUAACACAUGCAAGUCGAACGGAAAGGCCCUGCUUUUGUGGGGUGCUCGAGUGGCGAACGGGUGAGUAACACGUGAGUAACCUGCCCUUGACUUUGGGAUAACUUCAGGAAACUGGGGCUAAUACCGGAUAGGAGCUCCUGCUGCAUGGUGGGGGUUGGAAAGUUUCGGCGGUUGGGGAUGGACUCGCGGCUUAUCAGCUUGUUGGUGGGGUAGUGGCUUACCAAGGCUUUGACGGGUAGCCGGCCUGAGAGGGUGACCGGCGACAUUGGGACUGAGAUACGGACCAGACUCCUACGGGAGGCAGCAGUGGGGAAUAUUGCACAAUGGGCGGAAGCCUGAUGCAGCAACGCCGCGUGCGGGAUAACGGCCUUCGGGUUGUAAACCGCUUUCGCCUGUGACGAAGCGUGAGUGACGGUAAUGGGUAAAGAAGAAACGGCUAACUACGUG